CGUAGGGAGUGAGGUGAGGUCAUAACUCCGAAGCCCUCGUGACUGCCACCUUUGCACAAAUGGAGUGACUUGUCCCUGGGUCUCAGAGCAGCAAGCUAUGGUCUGCAAAGAAUGCAGAGAGAGGUAGUUCCAUGAGUUUUUACGGGAAGCAGAGAAGAAGUCACAACGUUUGGCAUUUUUCAGAUUGAACUGCAAGGUCUUGGACUUCAGUCUGUGCUCAGCUCUGGGGCAGCCAAACCUUUGCUCGGAGGAAAGGAGAAAGAACCUUCCCUGCUAAUGUCACUGUCUCGGGCGAGAGUUUGGACCAGAAGCAGUCGCAGCAUCGGAGCCUCUCCCCAUGGCAAGCAGCUGCUGUUAUAACACCAUGAUUAAAGCCUUUUGUUAAUUUCCCUCACGCUUUAUCUUUCUUAUUUUCUUUCCCACAGCUGCCUGGCCCUCUUUCUGGGCCAGCCUGACAAUCUGAAAUAACAGAAUAAUAGAAUUUCUGAAAUCCCAGCUUUCUCUGUUCCCAGAGACCAUUUUGCUCACUGGGGACCAGUGAGUUAUUUCAGAACACAGGGCCGCUAUGAAGCUGAGGCAGAGAGGCCUCUGUGACCUGUUACAAUGAAGGACAAUUCAUCAAAUCAGAAGGACACCUUCAAUUUCAUCAAGAUCCUUUUCUAAAGGUAAGAAGUUGAGACUUGGAGCAGGUGACAGUUGGCCUUGGGCCACCCACAGGACUACAAAGACCCUAUUGAGUCUUCUGGCUCACCCCAGCACCCCACAUGGCCUCCAGAUGGUGGGAACUUGUCUGCUGCUUUGUAACACACAGAACUCUCGGCCCAGGGUCCCACCGCUGCUUGGCCAGGUAGCUGCUCUAACCCAGGUGGGAUGACACAUCCGGGGGGGAGCGCAGGGACAGAGGCAGCGCCAGCCCCAUCACCGGCAGGCCCGAGUGCAAAAUGGCAGCAUAGACACCUUUUCCCCAAAGCACAGGGAAAGCUGCUUCCUUCCCUGCUAUCUCCCUCUUAACCUGUCAUGCCAUUGUUUUAUUUGCUGUGUGGCGGUGUGCUCCCUGGGACCUGGGGAUUCACACAGACCUCUCUGGAAGUCUCUCAUGCCAUCCCCUGACACCCCGAUUCCCCCAGCUUCUGCCUCAUUCCCGACCCCAUCCUGUCAGGAAUAGAGCAUGCUGAGCUCUAUUGUCCCUCAGGACUUCACAGACAGACCACGGAGUCAGAGAGCAAAGUGUUAAGAAGUCCAAGGUGGAGCAUUAACCUCCUGGGGCAGGGUCCCCUCUGCAUGCAGGAGUCGGUGAAGAAACACGUUUGGGAACAAAGCCUGAGGGUGCCCACAGCUCCACACUGCUUUGGGCUGCUGGUCCGAGACAGCAUCUAACUGGCUGGCGGGAAUCGUCAAUGGGGCUGACGGGGCCUGCGUCUGAGAGGGGUCUCUGCAGAGCCCGGGGCCUCUGGGGGGGCAGGCCGGGGACUGGCUCUGCCUCACGGCUCGUUAGCUUGGUGGCCCAGCGCCCGGAGGUGGGUGGGAAGGAACAGGUGGCUACUCUCUGGAACAUCAUAAAACCCCUGCAAAGCUGAUGCUUCAUUUUCAAAGACAGUUGCCAAAUUCUUGCCCUUGAAAGAAUUUUCCAGGUCUUUCUAAAAGGAAAAGGUUUAAUUUAGAGAAUGAGGGAGGUGAUGGGAAGACUUGGCACAGGUUAGUCAGGUCAAAGCUCCAAAGUCUCUGAAGAGACAAGGGAUAUUACAAGAACCUUUUCCAAAGACAAAGGUUCCCACUUGUGCAAAGCAAAUAAUCUGAAACAUGGCUAGAAAAUUCUCAGCGUUGGGGAAUUUCCCCGUUAUUUCCUCCCAUGAACAUCCCUUCUGCAUCUGGGUAACUAAGAAUCCACAGGACACAGUGUGGGCCCGUAGCCCUUACAGCUUAGAGUAAACCAUGCUGUGCCGACUUGGUUCAGCUCCUCACCCCAACCGCAGCCCCUGGGCAGGGGACAGUGUCUGGACACUUUGUGCCCAUUGGACCUCCCAUUGGCCUGUCCUUAGCUCUGCUUGGGCUGAGCCUCAGAUCUAUCGACAGCCAGCAGAGCACUGAGUCAUCCGCCUCUUUUUCAACCACGACAUAUUUCUGGGAAUGUGAAGCACAUUUGAACGGCGACGUGACAUUCCUUACCUCACAGCAGAAAGUCAACUGCCCACUUCCUUUCUAGUCACGUUGCAUCAUCUUUCGGAACAGGACUAAACAAAUUUACUUGAAAUUGACAUGCCUUCAGGAAAGAAAGGCUAGGAGCACAUGUUUGAGCCCCGCCCCUCUCCUAGGGAAGAGCAGGGUUAUCCCACCCGAAGGGAGAGGCAGGCAGGCCCCCUGCAGCUGCUCUGCCUUUGCGAGGGCAAGAAAGAGGUGUCUGCGUUCCACGCCCAUCUCGCGGUGACAAAGGUGGUCAUGUGACCUCCAUCCCAGGCCUUUGUGGAUACAUCAGUUCUAGUAAUGGGCUCUGCAGCUCUUGAAAUUCUUUGUCAUCUCAGAAUACGUUAUGGAAAAGGUAACUAGUCUCUGUACAAACCUUUGGCCUGUGGGUAAGCUUUUGCACAUCUGAAUCCCAGAAAAAUAUCCUUUCUUUUUUUUUUCUUCUGAGACAGAGCCUCAAGCUAUUGCCCUGGGUAGAGUACACAGCUCACAGCAACCUUCAACUCCUGGGCUCAAGCAAUUCUCCUGCCUCCGCCUUCCAAGUAGCUGGAACUACAGGCGCCAGCUACAAGGCCCAGCUAUUUUUUGGUUGCAGCUGUCAUUGUUGUUUGGUGGGCCCGGGCUGGAUUUGAACCUGCCAGCUCAGGUGUACGUGGCUGGCGCCUUAGCCUCUUGAGUCAUAGGCACCAAGCCAAAAAAACAUCAUUUAUUAACAGGACGUUGAACAAUCUUCAAGAGCUUGGGGAGGGAGCUGAGGGUGGGUGGACGAUGCACAGGUGAACAGAAAAGGCAUCGGCUCCCAAGGACUCAGCCUGGUGGGGGUGACAGCCCUGGAGCCAGCUGUAGGUGGAGGGGUCCACACCGAGGGGCUGCUGAAUGCCACCUGGAGAGGACCAGGAAGGCGAGCUCCAGAGGGAUGUCUGAGCAGGUGAGGCUGCUGGGAUCCUGAGAAACAGUCUCUAUGCAGGUGUGGGCGCUUACAAAGAGGGUCGGAAGAGCACAGAGAAGGGAGAGACACCAGGUCGCCAGGUUGGAGCAGAGCUUGGAAAGAGCUCGAAGGGAGGGUGAGGUGCAGGCCAGUGAGCAGCCUGGCUGGAGACAGCCCCUUGAGAUGGACUUACAGAGCCCUCAGAAACCACCACACUGGGACAAUGUCAGGUUUGGAGUGGUGGCAAGUCAUCCUGCAUCUUGGGCAGAGAGUGACAUGCUCCAGUCGUGCCAUAGAAAUGUCAUCCUGGCAGAAAUUUGAAAAGGUUGACGGUGGGGACCAACUGGGAGGCCAAGUCUGUGCUGCAAGUGGGCGGGAACAGGCUUGAGUGGCAGACGGCAAUAAUUAUGCCAGUGGUGCUAAUUGCAAUUGCCCUUGAGGAGGGCCAACCUGCAGCGGGCACCUGCACAAGCUAUCUCAGUUUGCAUCAGAGCCGCGGCCCUCCAGAUGAAGAAGCUGAGGCUCAGAAAGGGAGACAGCUGCUCACGGCCAUAGCAGCACGGCGGGGCUGGCUGCAGCCUCCCCCUGUCCCGGGGGAUAACAGAGCUGCUUGAGUUGCCAUGGAGGGGGAGGAGGUGCCCUGCUGGUUUCUGCCUGAUGUCUCGGAGGACAGGUGAUGGGAUGAAGAUGAGACCAGGCAAGUAGGGGAGGAGGAAUUUGCAACUAGGUUGGGUGGGACCAGAUGAAAACUGGACACCAGCAAGCACCGUGGUUGCUGCUGACAGUCUGUGGUUGCAGCCCUAGGCCAGAGGUUCACGUAACAGAUUCCGGCUAGGGAAGACGUUUGUACCCAUCACCAAGAAAAAAAGCAAGGUGCAAACAGCAUUCUCGGAGGUGCCUGAGCGUUUGUUGUGUGCUAGCCACCGGCUAAACGCUUGCUAUGUGCCUUCAUGACAGUCUGUGCCGGGGCGCCACUGGCAUCUUCAGGAACACACGUUGAGUAACUUGCCCAGGGCCACAGAGCCAGUAAGCAGUAACCCUGUGCUCAGCUGAAGGCUAACUUCCAAGUUCAUCUGCAAAGACAGAGAUGGGAAGAAUUCACCUCUGGGGUUAUAAAGCUAUUUGCUGGAAUGCUUCACAUGCCCUUUUGUUUGCUUAUAUGUAUUUUGUAAACGGUGGAUAGUUAGUACUAGUUAAAAUUAGUACACAGUAGUGUUAGCAGCAGUAUUUUGGUACUAGGAGAAAGAAGUUUGAAGAAAGCAAAAAGGUGAAAUAUAAACUGGUAGACAUUUUGGAACACAAUUUGCUAUUGUCUACCAAAAAUUGAAAACGUGGCACAUUCUUCAACCCUGCGAUUCCAAUCAAAUAGGCAGAAACAUACAUUAAAUUGUCUAAAGCAGUAAAUUAAAGAAAUGUGGACGUACUUCCAAGGUCCACUAAUAAAGAAUUGAAAUAAAUUUUGGCUCAGCCAUCCAGCUGAAUCUAAUGCUAGGUAACACCAAAGAGGAGCCAUUUAGAUUACCGUGAGGACAUAAAGAUUGUUUGCUAUAUAUACACACACGUAGUGUACACAGGGAGAAAGUGUGUUAAUCUCAAUUGUGGUUAAAAAAAAAGUUUUUCAUGAAUAAACAUUUGGGGUGGCUCCUGUGGCUCAAAGGAGUAGGGCACCGGCCCCAUAUACCGGAGGUGGCAGGUUCAAACCCGGCCCUAGCAAAAAACUGCAAACAAACUGCACACAAAUAUUUGUCUAAUGUUGAUUGUGAUAAAUGUUGGUUGGAGCUUGUGUCACAGAGAGGAAAUCAAGCUGCUUAGUAGCUGGUACUCGUGAGGUGAGAGGGUUCAAAGGAUAUACACGGGAACGCUUUGUGGCUUUCAUUUUUCUUUUCAAGUAUCUGAAGUUUUUCUAGUUUUUUUUUUCCUACAGUAAAAAUGGAGAGAAAUAUUACUUGGAGAGAAAUAUUUAACUAUUUAAAGCAAAAAAGAAACAGCGCAUGUGGAGGUAAGGGCGUGUGCACUCAAGGACUCAGGACGGAGGAUCUUCUGGAAGAGUCUAGUAGCAGCUGCCUCCGAAAGACCCAGCUGGAUGAAGACCGAGGUGAGCCGAGGAGGACGGCAUCAAUGAUCUUUCGUAUCUUAUGGGACACAUUUCUUUAUUGCGGUUUAUCUCCAGCCAUCUUCCUCUCCCAGCCCAGACCCGCCUCCAUCAUUAUCUGGACGUUCAUGCCCCACAUAGAACUACCCCCCUCUCCUCCCCUUGCUCUGCCCCAAUCAGACGGGCAGACCCAGGCUCACUCACCUGUAUCCCCCACCUUCUUGGGUUGCGCUACCGCCCUCCCAAAUUGAGUGUCCUUCCAGAUUCUUUCCCCCCUUCCCUACGCAUGUUUAAAUGAUUCUUUAAAUAUCACAUUAAGCCAAUGGUUCUCAACCUUCCUAAUGCCGCGGCCCUUUAAUACAGUUCCUGUGGGUCGCGACCCACAGGUUGAGAACCGCUGCUCUCCUCUCUCUCCUCCAGCCUACUGCCUUCCUCACACCUCCCCUCACCACACCUGGAGUCCCCCACGCCAGGCCCAUCCACACCUGCUCCUCCAUUGGACCCUUUCAUUCACACUCCACCCCAUACCCUGCAGAAUUAAGUCUUCCAUGUUGCAAACGAUGAAACAAUAGCAGCAGUGCACAUAAAACUUGUUUUUUAUUUCCAUUCAAUUAUUUCCGUAGGUUAAAUUCCCAGGAUCGGAAUUUCGGGGUUGAAGGGUGUGGGGAUAUUUUUAUACAUGAACUUGUCCACAUUUCUGAAAUGAAUAUAAAUGCCCUGCUCCCUCCCCCUUCUUCUCCAGGAUAAAUAUUGUUAGGGAAUGUAGAAAAAAAUCUUAAUUUUUAUGCCCUGACUCUGCCUGUGUUUUU